rnacentral:rRNA from 1 species
UCGAGAAUUUUUCUCAAUGGGCGCAAGCCUGAAGGAGCGACGCCGCGUGGGGGAUGAAGGGUUUCGAUCCGUAAACCCCUGUCAUUUGUGAACAAUGGUUAUCGUUUAAGAGAUGAUGACUUGAUAGUAAUGAAAGAGGAAGGGACGGCUAACUCUGUGCCAGCAGCCGCGGUAAUACAGAGGUCCCGAGCGUUGUUCGGAUUCACUGGGCGUAAAGGGUGCGUAGGUGGCAUGUUAAGUUUGAUGUGAAAGCUCAGGGCUUAACCCUGAAAUGGCAUUGAAUACUAGCGUGCUGGAGGUUUGGAGGGGGGACUGGAAUUCUCGGUGUAGCAGUGAAAUGCGUAGAUAUCGAGAGGAACACCAGUGGCGAAGGCGAGUCCCUGGACAACACCUGACACUGAGGCACGAAAGCCGGGGGAGCAAACA